rnacentral:lncRNA from 1 species
GCCAAACAGCGCCCAUAUGCGCCCCCACAGCCAUGUUAGGGACAGGAGGAGAACCUCGCCCUAACAUGAGCAAAGUCGAAGGCCCGGUUCCUCUUAGACCGGAUGGGGGGAGAGGCCAAACAGCGCCCAUAUGCACCGCCACAGCCAUGUUAGGGAUAGGAGGAGAACCUCGCCCUAACAUGAGCAAAGUCAAAGGCCCGAUUCCUCUUAGACCGGAUGGGGGG